rnacentral:rRNA from 1 species
UACGGAGGAUGCGAGCGUUAUCCGGAUUUAUUGGGUUUAAAGGGUGCGUAGGCGGACAAAUAAGUCAGUGGUGAAAACCUGCAGCUUAACUGUAGAAUUGCCAUUGAUACUGUUAGUCUUGAGUAUGGUCAAGGUAGGCGGAAUGUGUAAUGUAGCGGUGAAAUGCUUAGAUAUUACACAGAACACCGAUUGCGAAGGCAGCUUACUGGACCAUUACUGACGCUGAUGCACGAAAGCGUGGGGAUCGAACAGG